rnacentral:rRNA from 1 species
AGUUUGAUCAUGGCUCAGAUUGAACGCUGGCGGCAGGCUUAACACAUGCAAGUCGAGCGGGGAAAGGUAGCUUGCUACCUUACCUAGCGGCGGACGGGUGAGUAAUGCUUAGGAAUCUGCCUAUUAGUGGGGGACAACAUUCCGAAAGGAAUGCUAAUACCGCAUACGCCCUACGGGGGAAAGCAGGGGAUCUUCGGACCUUGCGCUAAUAGAUGAGCCUAAGUCAGAUUAGCUAGUUGGUGGGGUAAAGGCCUACCAAGGCGACGAUCUGUAGCGGGUCUGAGAGGAUGAUCCGCCACACUGGGACUGAGACACGGCCCAGACUCCUACGGGAGGCAGCAGUGGGGAAUAUUGGACAAUGGGCGCAAGCCUGAUCCAGCCAUGCCGCGUGUGUGAAGAAGGCCUUUUGGUUGUAAAGCACUUUAAGCGAGGAGGAGGCUACUUGGAUUAAUACUCUAGGAUAGUGGACGUUACUCGCAGAAUAAGCACCGGCUAACUCUGUGCCAGCAGCCGCGGUAAUACAGAGGGUGCGAGCGUUAAUCGGAUUUACUGGGCGUAAAGCGUGCGUAGGCGGCUUUUUAAGUCGGUUGUGAAAUCCCUGAGCUUAACUUAGGAAUUGCAUUCGAUACUGGGAAGCUAGAGUAUGGGAGAGGAUGGUAGAAUUCCAGGUGUAGCGGUGAAAUGCGUAGAGAUCUGGAGGAAUACCGAUGGCGAAAGCAGCCAUCUGGCCUAAUACUGACGCUGAGGUACGAAAGCAUGGGGAGCAAACAGGAUUAGAUACCCUGGUAGUCCAUGCCGUAAACGAUGUCUACUAGCCGUUGGGGCCUUUGAGGCUUUAGUGGCGCAGCUACGCGAU